AAAGACGGCCACAUUGUCCUGCAGGCGCCCAAUCUCGUCAGAUCUCAGAAGCUAAGAAGGGCGAGGCCUGGUUGGUACUUGAAUGGGAGACUGCCUUGGAAGAUCAGGGGCCGUUA
rnacentral:rRNA from 12 species